AUGACCAGGAAUAAAGGUGUUGGCGAGAUAACAAAAGAAAGUUACAUGGAGCUAGACGCAUGCAUGGAAUCAACGAGCCAUCCAUCUUGCAUGAUACGUGCACAAGUUUUGAAGUACAAGAGAAAAGAAGGAAGAGAGAUAGCCGCGUACACACCAUGCAAUAUUGGGUCAAAACGUAUUGGGCUGGAUGGAGCGUCCCGAGUCCGUCUGCUGGAUUCGCCGCCGCCUCUAGAUCGAACAUGUCCUGCGUUCUGUCUGGAGAACUCCCGAUGCAUAUCUCAAUCACCGCCCACCGCUCACCGCCCGCUGCUCAGCCGCUCCACCGUCGUAGCUCCAUAUAAAUGGCUCCUAACUCCUCUGGAGGAGGUCACAGCAGUCUUAGCUAGCAUGCGUCUCGCAAAUUCGAGCGCCGUCCACACCAUAUUUCUGGGAAGACCUCGCCGCUGGUCGGCGCCCCGGCCGCCAGAGCACUCGCGCCGGCCGGCGUCUCGCCGAAAAAUGCUACCGCUGCGCCCCUACCCCCUUUCUUUCUUCUCUCUCCGCUGGAGCCAGAGGGUUGGCCGCACGAAGACAGAGUGCACCGUGCACAGGAGCUCCAGCUUCUGCCCGCGGCCGUCGGUAGCAACACGGGCCCCGUGCCGUUGCUCUCGACCCCGGAGAUCGCCCCUUCGUGCUCCUCGCGACCACACGCAUGUCCUCCGGCUUCGGUGGCGAGUGGAUCCAGAGCGCGGGCCGCGGUGGUGGCCAGCUGUGUGGAAGCUAGGCCUCAGCCAGGGACAGGAGACACGUGCGUAUGCAACCCAGCGCGCAAGGCUGGCGACCUCAGCCGUUGAGGUGACGACGACACAUCAGUUUGUGUCGAGGCGCGCGAGGGUACCCUGGGGCAACUUCUUGAGGAAGGGAAUGUGGGGCGUUUCGAGCUCGCGCCCGUCAGGUCGUCCGCGCGUCGCAAUCCCUGUCGGCCGGGCUUACAUCGUGGUAGAUGCCUCGAGCUGUCCAGAGCCACCCGUUCCUCGACCUCGCGUCAGCCAAGGCCACCGGAGCCCUGCUCUGCUGCAAGCCACCGGCGUACUGAGGGUACAGGGCGGUGAACGCAACAUUAUACGAGCCCUGCGAGCGGCCUGGUCACGACGGACGCGGACUGCCAGGCGUGGAGCAACGAUCAGACCAUGGCGUGCUUCCGGUGCAAUGAGUGCAACAGGUCGACCGCCUCGGCUGCUGCACCCUUCGCGUCAACGACCGGCGGCUGCGACGGCCGUUACUACUGAUUGCUAUUUUUGUUCAUGGGACCGGGAUGGAUUGCAAACUGUCUUUGAGAGAUUCCUCAAAGGCCCCAUCACUUGCUUUGAUGAGAUGGACGUCCAAAAUUGUUUGCAUGAUAAACUUGCACUUGGUAAGGGCAUGCUUAUAGACGAUCUAGGUUCUGGUUGUGAAGUAGGAAUACUCGAAGUGUCAAAUGAAGAAGAGAAGGAAAGAGAACACUCCUCCAUACAGGAAAAACUGGAUAUGGAGCUUUCUACAAGGAACCGCAUGAAGGUAGUUAUGAUGAAUCACACCACGCCACAAAUACAUUAUAAGUUACAUAUGGUGACGUCUGCUGAUGAAGUGAAGAGGAGAAUUAAUAUGUUUGAUCGAGAAGAAGAUAGUUCUCUUGAUCCUGAUCCUGAAAUUGUGGCGAGUCUUAUUGAUAAGCAUAAUUUGGAGGCACUGAGGCCCUUAAGAGUACAUACUAGGUCUGACGAAAGCAAGUUAAAGGGUACAAGGCUGAAGCCAGCAAAACGCGUCGCAGCACGCAAAGAUAAAAGAGCACAAGUUGAUCAGCGUGCUGUCGAGGUAGCCGGGAGCGCCCAUAUGUAUGCUCUCUCUCAAGUAGCUCGACGAAGCCCAGUGCACCUUGCCCGCACCCUUGUGACGAGCACCUCUACUUGCCCGCACCCUUGUGACGAGCACCUCUACGUGCCCUCUGUCCUGAGAUCUUGCCAACAAAUCCCAUCGGACGCCGCUGUUCCUUUUGAUAUUGAUCCCAGUGUGUCCGGUUUCUCACGCCCCCAUCAAUUAACAUCCUUGAUGUCUGCCGCCUUCCGCAUGGGCGUACACGCUGCAGCACGCAUUUUCUCUGUACACAUAACCGACUUGGGCCUCACCGCGGAUGUGAAAGUCACCAACGAGCGUCUCGCCCAACUUGAGGGUGAUCAGAUUGUCGCUGAAGAGAGGCUCGAGGCCAUCGAGGAUGCACAAGGUGUUGCGAACACACAACAACAGGAAAUCUUGUCACGUUUGGACGAGUUACGGACUGCACCCCCCGUCAACAACAACAACGUUGUUCCUCACAAUUCCACGGGUGUUUCCGCUACUUCGCGGGCUCGACGUGUGCCCAUGGGUCAUCCACAACACCCAGCUACUGCCACUGAUGCCGCCACCAUAAACCAGCACCAACGCAUUCCUCCCCGUGUCAACGAUGAAUAUGGGGACAACUACGAGGAUUAUUCCGGUGACACCGAGGACGACCAAGCGGUCGACCGCCACAAUGACCAUGCCCAUCGACAACUACAUUUCAACCGUCAAGGUAUGGCACGAGGUCCACCCAGCCGCCACAACCGCUGCUCCCGAUUCGGGCGAUUCCAGCGGCUAUUGCCGGCGCGGAGCACAGCACCGAGCUCGCCUCGCUCGGAUCCAUCCUCCCCUCCAGGUUUGGCCCUCCGGCACCGGCUUCAUCGUCAGCGCAUUCCCGGCGGUCUCCGGCGGCUCUUCUCCGGCGGCUCUUCUCGACUCCUGAUGGUCCACCUUGAGAAAGGAGGCAUGGAGGACCUCCUCUCGCUGGAUCCACGGACGCUGCGCAUCCUGCAGCCGCUGAUCCGGGACGAGGGCGGGUAUGGCGGCCUUGUCCUGCUCGACGGCGGUGGCGGCGAACACCGGUGCUCCUCCUUGUCAUCGACCUCCAAGGAGGAGCGCCGGUCACUGUAA
rnacentral:rRNA from 1 species